UACAGAGGGUGCAAGCGUUGUUCGGAAUUAUUGGGCGUAAAGCGCGUGUAGGCGGCUUUGCAAGUCGGGUGUGAAAGCCCUCAGCUCAACUGAGGAAGUGCGCCCGAAACUGCAGAGCUUGAGUACCGGAGAGGAUGGCGGAAUUCCGCAAGUAGAGGUGAAAUUCGUAGAUAUGGGGAGGAACACCGGUGGCGAAGGCGGCCAUCUGGACGGAUACUGACGCUGAGACGCGAAAGCGUGGGUAGCAAACAGG
rnacentral:rRNA from 1 species